rnacentral:rRNA from 1 species
CCCUUAGAUGUCCGGGGCCGCACGCGCGCUACACUGAAGGAAUCAGCGUGGCUUUCUCCCUGACCCGAAAGGGUUGGGAAACCCGUUGAAUCUCCUUCGUGAUAGGGAUUGGGGCUUGAAAUUGUUCCCCAUGAACGAGGAAUUCCCAGUAAGCGCGAGUCAUAAGCUCGCGUUGAUUACGUCCCUGCCCUUUGUACACACCGCCCGUCGCUCCUACCGAUGGAUCGUCCGGUGAAGCUCAUGGAGGGGCGGUUGUCUCAGCUGCCGUCGAAGUGAAAUGGACCUCACGAUCUAGAGGAAGGAGAAGUCGUAACA